AUUUAAAAACCUUUUCACCCCUUUCAAGCCUCACCACCGUCAGCCAUCAAAUCAUCGUCGGAAAACUAUUCUUUUUCUUCUUCUUCUUCCGGACGCCCUUCAUCUUGCCAGGCUUAGACCAGUUUAUUGCUGCCAACCACUAAUCUAAGAACAUUCGGUUGUGCCACCAUGGCCUGUAUCAUCGACCACAGCCACCGCUAGUGAGAAGCUCCCCUGUUUCAGGGGAAGGAGGAUCACUGAAUCCCUUGUUUUGCCAAAGAAGUAAGGGCAGGAGGAAAAAAAAAAGAAAACAAAACAAAAAAA